rnacentral:rRNA from 1 species
AAAUUGAAGAGUUUGAUCAUGGCUCAGAUUGAACGCUGGCGGCAGGCCUAACACAUGCAAGUCGAACGGUAACAGGAAGCAGCUUGCUGCUUUGCUGACGAGUGGCGGACGGGUGAGUAAUGUCUGGGAAACUGCCUGAUGGAGGGGGAUAACUACUGGAAACGGUGGCUAAUACCGCAUAACGUCGCAAGACCAAAGAGGGGGACCUUCGGGCCUCUUGCCAUCAGAUGUGCCCAGAUGGGAUUAGCUUGUUGGUGAGGUAACGGCUCACCAAGGCGACGAUCCCUAGCUGGUCUGAGAGGAUGACCAGCCACACUGGAACUGAGACACGGUCCAGACUCCUACGGGAGGCAGCAGUGGGGAAUAUUGCACAAUGGGCGCAAGCCUGAUGCAGCCAUGCCGCGUGUAUGAAGAAGGCCUUCGGGUUGUAAAGUACUUUCAGCGGGGAGGAAGGUGUUGCGGUUAAUAACCGCAGCAAUUGACGUUACCCGCAGAAGAAGCACCGGCUAACUCCGUGCCAGCAGCCGCGGUAAUACGGAGGGUGCAAGCGUUAAUCGGAAUUACUGGGCGUAAAGCGCACGCAGGCGGUCUGUCAAGUCGGAUGUGAAAUCCCCGGGCUCAACCUGGGAACUGCAUUCGAAACUGGCAGGCUUGAGUCUUGUAGAGGGGGGUAGAAUUCCAGGUGUAGCGGUGAAAUGCGUAGAGAUCUGGAGGAAUACCGGUGGCGAAGGCGGCCCCCUGGACAAAGACUGACGCUCAGGUGCGAAAGCGUGGGGAGCAAACAGGAUUAGAUACCCUGGUAGUCCACGCCGUAAACGAUGUCUACUUGGAGGUUGUGCCCUUGAGGCGUGGCUUCCGGAGCUAACGCGUUAAGUAGACCGCCUGGGGAGUACGGCCGCAAGGUUAAAACUCAAAUGAAUUGACGGGGGCCCGCACAAGCGGUGGAGCAUGUGGUUUAAUUCGAUGCAACGCGAAGAACCUUACCUGGUCUUGACAUCCACAGAACUUUCCAGAGAUGGAUUGGUGCCUUCGGGAACUGUGAGAC